GGGUAAUUAACUCAAUUGGUAGAGUAUUUCGCUUACAUUGAAAAGGUUAAUGGUUCAAAUCCAUUAUUACUCA
rnacentral:tRNA from 1 species